rnacentral:tRNA from 1 species
GGUUGUGGCUCAGUGGUAGAGCGCUUGUCCAGGAUGCAUGAGGCACUGGGUUCAAUUUCUGGCACCG